UAGUUCAGUGGUAGAACAUAUGCUUAGUAUGCAAAAGGCCCUUGGUUCAAUUCCCAG
rnacentral:tRNA from 1 species